rnacentral:rRNA from 1 species
UACGGAGGGUGCAAGCGUUACUCGGAAUCACUGGGCGUAAAGGGCGCGUAGGCGGAUUAUCAAGUCUUUUGUGAAAUCUAACAGCUUAACUGUUAAACUGCUUGAGAAACUGGUAAUCUAGAGUUAGGGAGAGGUAGAUGGAAUUCUUGGUGUAGGGGUAAAAUCCGUAGAGAUCAAGAGGAAUACCCAUUGCGAAAGCGAUCUACUAGAACUUAACUGACGCUAAGGCGCGAAAGCGUGGGGAGCAAACAGG